CAGCCACAAUUAGUGAAAUGUAUACAUUCCUGGUGACAGUAAAGAAGAACUCCCUAAGAGAAUACUGGAGCAGAGAUCCUAUGUUUGCAACUCCCUUCUUUGCCACCAUCUAUUCCCAAGACUGCUUUCUAAUUCUGCUGCUAUGACUGCAUUUCAUCAACAACGCUACUGCCAUCCUAAAUGACCCAUUAUACAAACAAAAAAAAUGUUAACAGCUGGCAGUAAAGUGCCAUGACAAACAAGACGUCCAUGUCCUCUCCACUGUCCAUACAGCAACCAUGUCGGCCACAGGGAAGGUGGACCACGUGACGGGAGAGAGAAACAAACCAGACAGGGAAACAUCAAACCAGACUGCGUGCUUGACUAUAACUUCAAAAUGGGGGCAGAAAAUGACCCAGUGGUAUAAGAUAUUUUUCCAGGGUAGUCAAAAUACAACAUGCCAAUACUUCUGACGCAUUUAGCAUGGUUUUGCAGAGCUAAUAGAAGAAUGUAACUAGCUACAUAAGUGUAGUAGAGUUAAAUUGGUUAUUCCAUCAAACUUCAAAUUAUUAGAAUAGUACACAACGCAGAACAGAACAACCAGGUUGAGGGUCAGUGGCCAAAGCCCGCGAACAGGAAUAUUCCAAGUUCAGACAGAGGGGGGAGGCAGAUCGCUAUGAUCGCCAGGAACUUUAGUUUUAGUGUCUUUUUUAAUUGUUGCGCUACUGGUGCUGCCUGUUGAUGUUAGGUAGGCAGCUACAGUAGCUGAAUGAUGUUAACAUCUUCGGGUUUUGUUUCAUUAAAUUUAUUUUAUUUCAUCUGGGUGCUUGUGUCACCUACUAACACCCUGGUACUACCCGUAGCUCCCGUUCUCCUCAGUCGGAGAAAACACAGAGAGAAAGAACAACUUGUCAGAUGGUGCAUUGGAGACUGAUGUGUUCCUGUCCUGUCUUUUCACAAUACUAUUGCAGGUAUGGUUCUAUUGUCUAGGAAUUAAGAUUAUACAUGCUCUGUAUUAAGGACUGGUUAUUAUUUUAUAGUAUACAUUAUUGCUUUAUGUAUGAGUGUGAUCGUGUGAGUCUGAGAAAACACUGAGAGAGAAAGAACAACUUGUCAGAUGGUGCAUUGGAGACUGAUGUGUUCCUGUCCUGUCUUUUCACAAUACUAUUGCAGAUCAACAUAAAAGCCUAAAAGACAGCCGUGGUAUCGCUCUUCAUUUCUUGGUUCUCCUGUGGUACAUAAGAAACCCGCUACAUAAGCACGAUUGAAUAUAACACCAUAAAAGAUGUAGCCUGGCAAAAGCAACUGACAUGGGCUGCACGUCAUCCAGGCUACCCAUUAGAGGACCCAGAGGACUUGCAGGUGACCAAGCGUUUCCAGGCCUUCUGGACUCUCCAGAAGAAGUCCCGGAUGCCUUUC